GAUGAACGCUCGCGGCGUGCCUAAAACAUGCAAGUCGUGCGGCAGCGGGCCUUCGGGUGCCGGCGAGCGGCGGACGGGUGAGUAACGCGUAGGAACGUACCCCAAAGUGAGGGAUAAGCUCCGGAAACGGAGUCUAAUACCGCACAUGCUCUUAGGAGUAAAGGAGUAAUCCGCUUUGGGAGCGGCCUGCGUCCGAUUAGUUUGUUGGUGAGGUAAUGGCUUACCAAGACGAUGAUCGGUAGCUGGUUUGAGAGGAUGAUCAGCCACACUGGGACUGAGACACGGCCCAGACUCCUACGGGAGGCAGCAGUUAGGAAUUUUCCACAAUGGGGGCAACCCUGAUGGAGCAACGCCGCGUGCAGGAAGACGGCCUUCGGGUUGUAAACUGCUUUUAAAAGUGAAGAUUAUGACGGUAACUUUAGAAUAAGGAUCGGCUAACUCCGUGCCAGCCGCCGCAGUAA
rnacentral:rRNA from 1 species